rnacentral:rRNA from 2 species
UUAGAGUUUUAACUGGCUCAGGACGAACGCUGGCGGCGUGCCUAAUACAUGCAAGUCGAACGCUUCUUUCCUCCCGAGUGCUUGCACUCAAUUGGAAAGAGGAGUGGCGGACGGGUGAGUAACACGUGGGUAACCUACCCAUCAGAGGGGGAUAACACUUGGAAACAGGUGCUAAUACCGCAUAACAGUUUAUGCCGCAUGGCAUAAGAGUGAAAGGCGCUUUCGGGUGUCGCUGAUGGAUGGACCCGCGGUGCAUUAGCUAGUUGGUGAGGUAACGGCUCACCAAGGCCACGAUGCAUAGCCGACCUGAGAGGGUGAUCGGCCACACUGGGACUGAGACACGGCCCAGACUCCUACGGGAGGCAGCAGUAGGGAAUCUUCGGCAAUGGACGAAAGUCUGACCGAGCAACCGCCGCGUGAGUGAAGAAGGUUUUCGGAUCGUAAAACCUCUGUUGUUAGAGAAGAAUCAAGGACCGUUAGUAACUGAACGUCCCCCUGACGGUUCACGAAAGCC